rnacentral:rRNA from 1 species
UGGGGAAUAUUGCACAAUGGGGGAAACCCUGAUGCAGCGACGCCGCGUGAGUGAAGAAGUAUUUCGGUAUGUAAAGCUCUAUCAGCAGGGAAGAAAAUGACGGUACCUGACUAAGAAGCCCCGGCUAACUACGUGCCAGCAGCCGCGGUAAUACGUAGGGGCAAGCGUUAUCCGGAUUUACUGGGUGUAAAGGGUGCGUAGGCGGUAUGGCAAGUCAGAAGUGAAAACGCAGGGCUUAGCCCUGCGACUGCUUUUGAAACUGUCAGACUAGAGUGUCGGAGGGGUAAGUGGAAUUCCUAGUGUAGCGGUGAAAUGCGUAGAUAUUAGGAGGAACACCAGUGGCGAAGGCGGCUUACUGGACGAUCACUGACGCUGAGGCUCGAAAGCGUGGGGAGCAAACAGGAUUAGAUACCCUGGUA